UACGGAGGGUGCAAGCGUUAUCCGGAAUCACUGGGUUUAAAGGGUGCGUAGGCGGCCCAAUAAGUCAGUCGUGAAAUCGCUGGGCUUAACCCAUGCAAUUGCGAUUGAUACUGUUGGACUUGAAUUAGGUUGAGGCUGGCGGAAUGCGACAUGUAGCGGUGAAAUGCUUAGAUAUGUCGCAGAACACCGAUUGCGAAGGCAGCCAGCUGGGCCUUGAUUGACGCUGAGGCACGAAAGCGUGGGGAGCAAACAGG
rnacentral:rRNA from 1 species